rnacentral:rRNA from 1 species
UGGGGAAUAUUGCACAAUGGAGGGAACUCUGAUGCAGCAACGCCGCGUGCGGGAUGACGGCCUUCGGGUUGUAAACCGCUUUCAGCCAUGACGAAGCUUUUGUGACGGUAGUGGUAGAAGAAGCACCGGCUAACUACGUGCCAGCAGCCGCGGUGAUACGUAGGGUGCGAGCGUUGUCCGGAAUUAUUGGGCGUAAAGAGCUUGUAGGCGGUUUGUCGCGUCGAAAGUGUAAACUCAGUGCUUAACGCUGAGCCUGCUUUCGAUACGGGCUGACUAGAGGAGGGUAGGGGGGAAUGGAAUUCCCGGUGGAGCGGUGGAAUGCGCUGAUAUCGGGAGGAACACCAGUGGCGAAGGCGGUUCUCUGGACCUUUCCUGACGCUGAGAAGCGAAAGCGUGGGUAGCAAACAGG